rnacentral:rRNA from 1 species
AUUGAACGCUGGCGGCAUGCUUUACACAUGCAAGUCGAACGGUAACAGGUUAAGCUGACGAGUGGCGAACGGGUGAGUAAUGCAUCGGAACGUGCCCGAUCGUGGGGGAUAACGCAGCGAAAGCUGCGCUAAUACCGCAUACGAUCUGAGGAUGAAAGCGGGGGACCGUAAGGCCUCGCGCGAUCGGAGCGGCCGAUGUCAGAUUAGGUAGUUGGUGGGGUAAAGGCCCACCAAGCCGACGAUCUGUAGCUGGUCUGAGAGGACGACCAGCCACACUGGGACUGAGACACGGCCCAGACUCCUACGGGAGGCAGCAGUGGGGGAUUUUGGACAAUGGGCGAAAGCCUGAUCCAGCAAUGCCGCGUGCAGGAAGAAGGCCUUCGGGUUGUAAACUGCUUUUGUACGGAGCGAAAAGGUCCUUUCUAAUACAAGGGGCUCAUGACGGUACCGUAAGAAUAAGCACCGGCUAACUACGUGCCAGCCGCCGCGGUAAUAC